AUGGCGAGCCCGCCGUCGCCGCGCCUGCUCUGCGCCCUCCUCGGCGACCGCCUCGGCGCGCUCUCCGCCAGGCCGCUCCUCCGCACCGCCGCCCCAGGCAGAGGGAACGCGAGGGUGACGUGCCAGGCCACGAGAACGCUCUCCAGCCUGGUGGACGCCCUCUUCAACAGGAGAAGUCGGGAUGACUCACUGGAAAAUAACCCUAGACGCCUACGACCUGGGAAAGUGUCUCCUCGUCUAACCGUCCCCAGUCAUAUACAGCGGCCUCCUUAUGUCAAUUCCCGUCAAAGACCUCAGAUGAAUGAUGGACCUGAAAUACAUGAUGAAAAAGGGAUUGAAUGCAUGAGAGCUUCUGGAAAGCUUGCCGCACAAGUUUUGAAGUUUGCUGGAACACUUGUAAAUCCAGGCAUCACAACUGAUGAGAUAGAUAAAGCGGUGCACCAAAUGAUAAUAGAUAACGGUGCAUACCCGUCACCUCUUGGUUAUUGUGGAUUUCCGAAGAGUGUUUGCACUUCAGUGAAUGAAUGCAUCUGUCACGGAAUACCAGAUUCUCGUCCACUUGAGGAUGGCGAUAUCAUCAACAUCGAUGUGACUGUCUAUCUCAAUGGUUACCAUGGUGAUACAUCUGCUACAUUUCUCUGUGGUGAUGUUGAUGAUGAAGCUAAGAAGUUAGUUCAGGUAACAAAAGAAUCUCUUGACAAGGCUAUUUCAAUCUGUGCUCCAGGUGUGGAGAUCAACCGCAUUGGUAGAACCAUACAGGAUCAUGCAGACAAAUUCAAAUAUGGUGUAGUUCAACAAUUUGUGGGCCAUGGGGUAGGGAAAGUGUUCCAUGCUGAGCCUGCAGUGCUUCAUUUCCGCAAUAAUGAAAAGGGCCGCAUGAUUUUGAACCAAACAUUUACCAUAGAGCCGAUGCUAACCAUAGGGAGCACAAACUCUACCAUAUGGUCCGACGACUGGACCGCGGUGACGGAGGACGGGAGCCUGUCAGCGCAGUUUGAGCACACGCUACUGAUCACCGAAGACGGCGUGGAAAUACUGACACAGUGUUAA
rnacentral:rRNA from 1 species